GUGCUUGCUUCGGCAGCCCAUAUACUAAGAUUGGAACAAUACAGAGAAGACUAGCAUGGCCCCUGCGCAAGGAUGACUCGCAGAUUCAUAAAAAAAACUUGCCAGGUUA
ensembl:snRNA U6 U6 spliceosomal RNA